rnacentral:tRNA from 1 species
UAAGCGGAAGCCAAAAAGGCAACUAUCUGUUAAUUAGUCACCCGCCGACCUACUCGGCCCGCUUAA